ACUAGCUUAGCACAAUAUUAGUGCGUAGAAUUGUAGCUUCUGAGGUAAUAUUAAAUUAUUAGCUAGAA
rnacentral:tRNA from 1 species